CCUUCGGGAGUACACGAGCGGCGAACGGGUGAGUAACACGUGAGCAACCUGCCCUUCUCAUCGGAAUAAGCGUUGGAAACGACGUCUAAUGCCGAAUACGACCUCAGAAGGCAUCUUCAGAGGUGGAAAGCUCCGGCGGAGAAGGAUGGGCUCGCGGCCUAUCAGCUUGUUGGUGGGGUAACGGCCCACCAAGGCGACGACGGGUAGCCGGCCUGAGAGGGUGACCGGCCACACUGGGACUGAGACACGGCCCAGACUCCUACGGGAGGCAGCAGUGGGGAAUAUUGGACAAUGGGCGAAAGCCUGAUCCAGCAACGCCGCGUGAGGGAUGACGGCCUUCGGGUUGUAAACCUCUUUCAGCACCGACGAAGCGAAAGUGACGGUAGGUGCAGAAGAAGGACCGGCCAACUACGUGCCAGCAGCCGCGGUAAUACGUAGGGUCCGAGCGUUGUCCGGAAUUAUUGGGCGUAAAGGGCUCGUAGGCGGUUUGUCGCGUCGGGAGUGAAAACUCAGGGCUCAACCCUGAGCGUGCUUCCGAUACGGGCAGACUAGAGGUAUGCAGGGGAGAACGGAAUUCCUGGUGUAGCGGUGGAAUGCGCAGAUAUCAGGAGGAACACCGGUGGCGAAGGCGGUUCUCUGGGCAUUACCUGACGCUGAGGAGCGAAAGCAUGGGGAGCGAACAGGAUUAGAUACCCUGGUAGUCCAUGCCGUAAACGUUGGGCGCUAGGUGUGGGGACCUUCCACGGUCUCCGUGCCGCAGCUAACGCAUUAAGCGCCCCGCCUGGGGAGUACGGGCCGCAAGGCUAAAACUCAAAGGAAUUGACGGGGGCCCGCACAAGCGGCGGAGCAUGCUGAUUAAUUCGAUGCAACGCGAAGAACCUUACCUGGGUUUGACAUAUACCGGA
rnacentral:rRNA from 2 species